CUUGAACUCACACCUCUCACUGAUGACAUCAUGACCUGAGCUGAAGUCAGGAGCUUAGCUGACUAAGUCACACAGGAUUUCAAAAACACAUGACAAAGCAACCACGUUGCAGCAGCUCUCCCCAUCCAGGAAGGGCCCGUGUAAGCUUCUGCUCCGUGAGCUUCACGGGAAAUCAAAAUGCAGGCAUUUGAGUCAGACUGCUCUGGUUCCAAGCACAGCACCAGCACUUAGUCACUGCAGGACCUCAGGGUAUGGAAAUGGAGACAAGAGAGUCCAAGCCAAUUUUAUCUCAGUCCUUCAGAGGAGGAG